GUAGGUGGCAAGCGUUGUCCGGAAUUAUUGGGCGUAAAGCGCGCGCAGGCGGUUCUUUAAGUCUGAUGUGAAAGCCCACGGGCUCAACCGUGGAGGGUCAUUGGAAACUGGAGAACUUGAGUACAGAAGAGGAAAGCGGAAUUCCACGUGUAGCGGUGAAAUGCGUAGAGAUGUGGAGGAACACCAGUGGCGAAGGCGGCUUUCUGGUCUGUAACUGACGCUGAGGCGCGGAAGCGUGGGGAGCAAACAGGAUUAGAUACCCUGGUAGUCCACGCCGUAAACGAUGAGUGCUAAGUGUUAGGGGGUUUCCGCCCCUUAGUGCUGCAGCUAACGCAUUAAGCACCCCGCCUGGGGAGUACGGCCGCAAAGGCUG
rnacentral:rRNA from 1 species